rnacentral:rRNA from 1 species
AAUAGAUACCCCGGUAGUCCACGCCCUAAACGAUGUCAACUGGUUGUUGGAAGGGUUCCCUUUCAGUAACGAAGCUAACGCGUGAAGUUGACCGCCUGGGGAGUACGGCCGCAAGGUUGAAACCCAAAGGAAUUGACGGGGACCCGCACAAGCGGUGGAUGAUGUGGUUUAAUUCGAUGCAACGCGAAAAACCUUACCUACCCUUGACAUGUCUGGAAUCCCGAAGAGAUUUGGGAGUGCUCGAAAGAGAACCAGAACACAGGUGCUGCAUGGCCGUCGUCAGCUCGUGUCGUGAGAUGUUGGGUUAAGUCCCGCAACGAGCGCAACCCUUGUCAUUAGUUGCUACGAAAGGGCACUCUAAUGAGACUGCCGGUGACAAACCGGAGGAAGGUGGGGAUGACGUCAGGUCCUCAUGGCCCUUAUGGGUAGGGCUACACACGUCAUACGAUGGCCGGUACAGAGGGCUGCCAACCCGCGAGGGGAGCUAAUCCCAGAAAACCGGUCGUAGUCCGGAUCGCAGUCUGCAACUCGACUGCGUGAAGUCGGAAUCGCU